rnacentral:rRNA from 1 species
CCUACGGGCGGCAGCAGUGAGGAAUAUUGGUCAAUGGACGGAAGUCUGAACCAGCCAUGCCGCGUGCAGGAAGACGGCUCUAUGAGUUGUAAACUGCUUUUGUACAAGGGUAAACCUGAAUACGUGUAUGCAGCUGAAAGUGCGGUACGAAUAAGGAACGGCUAACUCCGUGCCAGCAGCCGCGGUAAUACGGAGGAGCCAAGCGUUAUCCGGAUUGAUUGGGUUGAAAGGGUGCGUAGGCGGAUUGAUAAGUUAGAGGUGAAAUGUCCGCGCUUAACUCGGGAACUGCCUCUAAUACUGUUGAUCUAGUGCGUAGAUGCGGUAGGCGGAAUGUAUGGUGUAGCGGUGAACUGCUU